rnacentral:rRNA from 1 species
GACACGAGGAGGACGUCGUGCCUUCGGUGGGACGACGAGGUCGAGACGGGUGAGUAAUGUCUGGGAAACUGCCCGAUGGAGGGGGAUAACUACUGGAAACGGUAGCUAAUACCGCAUAACGUCGCAAGACCAAAGAGGGGGACCUUCGGGCCUCUUGCCAUCGGAUGUGCCCAGAUGGGAUUAGCUAGUAGGUGGGGUAACGGCUCACCUAGGCGACGAUCCCUAGCUGGUCUGAGAGGAUGACCAGCCACACUGGAACUGAGACACGGUCCAGACUCCUACGGGAGGCAGCAGUGGGGAAUAUUGCACAAUGGGCGCAAGCCUGAUGCAGCCAUGCCGCGUGUAUUGAAGAAGGCCUUCGGGUUGUAAAGUACUUUCAGCGAGGAGGAAGGUGUCGUGGUUAAUAACCGCAGCAAUUGACGUUACUCGCAGAAGAAGCACCGGCUAACUCCGUGCCAGCCGCCGC